CAUGGAAUUCCUGCUGCUGCUCCUCUGCCUGGUGGCAUAUCCAUGCUGUGUCCUGUCCCAGGUGCAGCUGCAGGAGUCAGGACCUGGUCUAGUGAAGCCCUCAGAGACCCUGUCCCUCACUUGCACAAUCUCUGGAUUUUCUGUAACUGAAUAUAUUGCAGGCUGGAUUCGUCAGGCACCAGGAAAGGGGCUGGAGUGGAUGGGUAUCAUAUGGAGUGGUGGAAAUACAAAUUAUAACCCAGCCCUAAAAUCACGACUGAACAUCGGCAGGGACACCUCCAAGAAUCAACUUUCCUUAACACUGAGCAGCCUGAAGACUGAGGACACGGCCAUGUAUUACUGUGCAAGAUACACAAUGAGGAGCCCUCAGCAUGAGCCCAAUCAUAAACCUCCCAGCGGUGGUCUCUAA